CUCAUGCCUGCUUGCCUUCCAGGGAAGUACACAGGCGGGCACCUCACUGCCACCAACCUGGCGCUGAGUGCCCUGAACCUGGCAGAGUGUGCAGGGGAUGCCGUGUCUGUGGCGACGCUGGCCGAGAUCUAUGUGGCAGCUGCAUUGAGAGUGAAGACCAGUCUCCCACGGGCCUUGCAUUUUCUGACGCGCUUCUUCCUGAGCAGUGCCCGCCAGGCCUGCCUGGCACAGAGUGGCUCAGUGCCUCCUGCCAUGCAGUGGCUCUGCCACCCCGUGGGCCACCGUUUCUUCGUGGAUGGGGACUGGGCCGUGCUCAGUACCCCACGGGAGAGCCUGUACAGCUUGGCCGGGAACCCAGUGGACCCCCUGGCCCAGGUGACUCAGCUAUUCCGGGAACAUCUCUUGGAGCGAGCACUGAACUGUGUGACCCAGCCCAGCCCCAGCCCUGGGUCAGCUGAUGGGGACAAGGAAUUCUCGGAUGCCCUCGGGUACCUGCAGCUGCUGAACAGCUGUUCUGAUGCUGCGGGGGCUCCUGCCUGCAGCUUCUCCAUCAGUUCCAGCAUGGCCACCACCACCGGAGACCCCUGCCCAGGGCAGCUCUGCACUCCUUCAAGGCUGCCUGGGCCCUGCUGGGCUGUGCCAAG
rnacentral:sRNA from 1 species